GAAGUAGCCCUGUUCAGAAUGGGGCUCAAGGGAAGUGUACUGUUUGAUAGAGGCGCAUGACCUGAAAAGCACUCUCCACUUUGUUUUCCUCUGGUUUUGAAUGCAGUUUAUCCCGUCUUAAAUUUUAUCGAUUAUUUACGUAAAAAAAUACCUAAAGUUGUAUAUGAGGAAAGUUGUUUGAAAUGUUUGGACAAAGAUUACAGUGCAGGUGAGCAGUCUGUCUGGAAUUGAAGAGCGCCUGAUCUAAAGACUGGAUCCCUCUCACUGAGCGCCGUCUCUGACAUAGCAAGGAGAUUUGGAAACUACGGAAGGCUAUAUUCAACCAUUGUGUGAGCAACCAUGCUGCAGCACCAGAGGCUAGAGGGGUUGUGUACAGCUUCUGCAGUGGUGGAUGGACUCAUGCAUGCCAACCGAAUUAAAAUCUCCUCCAAUAUCUGACAUUGCACCUGGAGACACUGAACAUCAGAGACCAAUGCAUUACCUUGCCUGGACCAUGGAGAUCAGUCCCAUUCACUCAUACAUCAUGGUGACAGCUCAAAGCAAUCUCUCAGCCACGUCUGGGAAAAUAGGUGAAGAGAGAACCUGGAAAGAACUGCACAAUAAUCAACCACCAACUGAGGAGGAACUGAAGGCAUCCUAAAUGUAUCACAGUGACUUUAACAGAAUGCACUUGCCCUUGAAUAUAAAAUAAAAAUAUGUGUCCCGGGAUACAAUGAAAGAAAAUGUAUCUUUUGCUGUGAACCGUACAGAGCCC
rnacentral:lncRNA from 1 species